rnacentral:rRNA from 1 species
UACGAAGGCCCCAAGCGUUAUCCGGAAUUACUGGGCGUAAAGCGUCUGUAGGUGGUUUUUUAAGUCUUUCCGUGAAACUUCGGGGCUCAACCCUGAAUUGCGGGGGAAACUGAAAAACUAGAGUGUGGGAGGGGUUAGCAGAACGGUAAGAGUAGGGGUGCAAUCCGUUGAUACUUACCAGAAUACCAAAAGCGAAGGCAGCUAACUGGAACACUACUGACACUGAGAGACGAAAGCGUGGGGAGCAAAAGGG